rnacentral:rRNA from 1 species
GUGUCAGCAGCCGCGGUAAUACGUAGGGAGCGAGCGUUGUCCGGAUUCAUUGGGCGUAAAGAGCUCGUAGGCGGCUUGGCAAGUCGGGUGUGAAAACUCCAGGCUCAACCUGGAGACGCCACCCGAUACUGCCAUGGCUAGAGUCCGGUAGGGGACCACGGAAUUCCUGGUGUAGCGGUGAAAUGCGCAGAUAUCAGGAGGAACACCGGUGGCGAAGGCGGUGGUCUGGGCCGGAACUGACGCUGAGGAGCGAAAGCGUGGGGAGCGAACAGGAUUAGAUACCCUGGUAGUCC